rnacentral:sRNA from 1 species
UAGGUCCAACAGCCUCUGCAUCCUCGAA